rnacentral:lncRNA from 1 species
CACCUCCUUGUCCGUCCCCUCGGAGGGGACCCACCAGAGAAAGUUCUCUUAGGCCUCAGCCGUAGAAGGAGCGGGUCCACUGCCUUUUUAGUUUUAGGGACUGGAGGUUCUCCUCUUCAUCCUGGCCCGCGGGGAGCUCAGGGCCACCUUAUCGGUGUCCCUCUGGGCGCUCAUGUCCGUGUGACCGUGUAUUAACCUCACUUCUGGUUCCAGCACGGACGCCCCCACUCCGACGUUACCCGGUUCCUCCAUCCGCUUGCUUCAGCCUUUCGUUCUGUGGGCAUCCUUCGGAGAAGGACCAGAGGCCUGAGGAAGGGAGGAAGGAACAGGUCCCAGAGGAUGCAAGAUGCUCCUGCCAUAAAGUAAAGGUGGAAGCCAGAGCUGCCCUCCGUGAAGCCCUGGGGGGCUGGUGGCCAACCCUUGCCACCCUGACUCUGAUGCGCACGGUUGACGGCUGCUUCUCGGGCCAACGUGGGUCAGCAGAGCAUCACCUCCCUGGCCACCUGUUGGAAGUGGGGCCUGAGGCUGGGUGCUGUGUGCGUUGUCUUGGCUACAGGCUGUGGGUCUGACAUGGUUUCCUUGUGCUGAAGACGUGGUGGUGAAAAUUCAGUGGUUCCUGUUCCGUGGCCGCCAGUCUUUUCACCAACAUCCCUCGCCUUGUCAUCGCUCUGGCUCACCUGACGUCGGCGGAGCAGUGGCUAACGGUGGCACCUUCCCACUGCUGGGGGCACGGUCUUUCUUCCCAAGGGAAGGAGAGAGAGGUCACCCUCUGGGUCUUGGAGCCAAUGAAUGCAGCCGAGGCCGGGAGAGCCCACAAGUUGGAGUGUCUGAAGAUGGGCCCAUCAGCCUUAAUUUGCACUGCAUCACAUUUGCAAGUUGCAAAAUGGAAUUUGCAAUUGCUUUUUGGCAAUGUUCAAAUUAGCACUUCUUAGCAUAUUAAUGAACUACUUUUUUUUUUUUUCAUUAUGUGACCAAUUUUAAUGUAAAUAGCAGUCUCAAUGCAAGGAUUAGGUCAGUGUUUUAUGAGAGCAAAGUUCCAAAGCUUUCCAAGGAGGCAAAGAAUCUGGCUUUUGGGGAUCCCUGGGUGGCUCAGUGGUUUAGCGCCUGCCUUUGGCCCAGGGCGUGAUCCUGGAGACCGGGAUCGAGUCCGCAUCGGGCUCCCGGCAUGGAGCCUGCUUCUCCCUCUGCCUGUGUCUCUGCCUCUCUCUCUCCUCUCUCUGUCUAUCAUGAAUAAAUAAAUAAAAUCUUAAAAAAAAAAAAAAAGAAGAAUCUGGCUUUUGGGCGGCCAUGGCUUCCGCACAGAAUGUGUGGAUUUUUCAGCCCCCCUAGCCCAGCAGGUUUAGGUCACAGAGGCGACCCGUGGCUCUGGGCUCAGGAGGCUGGACGGUUAACCACAAGGGGGGUUGCAACCGCCCUGCCUGAAGAGGCUGGUGACUCAGCCCGUGGGGCAGGACAGCAUGUUCACGCCCGCGUCUCCAACAGGGGUUAAAUGUGGGUGGCGUGCCCCGGAUCACUCUCAGGGCCACAAAGGGAGCAACGUCCUUCAGAACAGGCGAAAAUCCGCCACGAUGAGGGUUCUUUGUGAAUUCCCCUUCCUGAGAUCCUUUCCUGCCUGAUGCUCCUCUGGGGUCUGCUUCAGGCAGCCGGGCCCCAAGUCUGGAGAGCACAGUGCCCACAAUUGGUCAGGAAGAACCAGAACUAUCCCUCCCUCCCAGGAUCUUGUAGCUCCGGGCGACAAGAGCUGCCUAGGGAUGGGACCCGACGCGUAGGGGAGAAGAAGCCACCUCGGAGGAUGCUACGAUAGGUCCAGAGGCCACAGAGGUGGUCAGAGACAGGGUGGGUGUCAGUAGGGGCUCCCGGAAACCCUGGGAGCCGGAGGGAGAGGCUGGAACCCGGGGAGUG